AUUUCUGGAUCACGGUAAAACAGAUAAUAAAUAGGUCAAGGAGAAUUCAGGAUGAAAAUUAUUCGUAAAAUUGGAAGGACGAUAGUAGUAUAGUAAGAUAAAAAUGUAACGGUGGUUAUCUUGGAAAUUAUCUCGAGGAAGGAAGAUUCAGCAAGAUCUCGAAGAAGAGGGAGUUUAGGAACAGUAAGAGCAAAGAGAAGGUGGAGGAAGAUGCCGAAACAAUACUUGGCAGCCGCUCGCGUUAUUCGGAUGCCGGGCGUGCCUCGGAAGUUUAAUUUCGAAUCGUAUUAUAUCCGGUACGCGAGCUACAGGCACGAAACUCGCCAUAGGAGGAGAAGGACGAACAGAAAGAGAGGAGCAAGAAGAACGGGAGGAAAAGGAGAUAGAUAGAGAGAGAGAGAGAGAGAAGAAGAGGGUGGUGGAUUUGCAGUUGGCCAGUCAGCCAAGCGAGAGCACCAGCUAGACUCCGAGGGAUAACCCUGAGCCAAAGUGAGAGAACAAGA